AGCAAGAGCCCGGAGAUGGAUUCUGAGACACGAAUCCAGGCCCUACGGGGCGCAGCAGGCGCGAAAACUUUACAAUGCGGGAAACCGUGAUAGGGGAACUCUGAGUGCCCGUAAAAUCGGGCUGUCCACCAGUUUAAACAACUGGUGAAGAAAGGGCCGGGCAAGACCGGUGCCAGUCGCCGCGGUAAUACCGGCGGCUCGAGUGGUGGCCACUAUUACUGGGCUUAAAGCGUUCGUAGCUGGUUUGUUAAGUCUCUGGGGAAAUCUUCCGGCUUAACCGGAAGGCGUCUCAGGGAUACUGGCAGACUAGGGACCGGGAGAGGUGAGGGGUACUCCGGGGGUAGGAGUGAAAUCCUGUAAUCCUUGGGGGACCACCUGUGGCGAAGGCGCCUCACCAGAACGGCUCCGACAGUGAGGGACGAAAGCUGGGGGAGCAAACCGGAUUAGAUACCCGGGUAGUCCCAGCUGUAAACGAUGCGCGUUAGGUGUAUCACUGACCACGAGUCAGUGAGGUGCCGAAGAGAAAUCGUGAAACGUGCCGCCUGGGAAGUACGGUCGCAAGGCUGAAACU
rnacentral:rRNA from 1 species